UACCAUACCUUACCUAACAUCUCUACCUAACCUAACAUCUCUUCCUUUACAUUUCCAACUCACCCUAAUUAACUUACCUUUAUUUUCUUACAUUUUCUAACCGCCUUUUAUUCGUCAAGUCUUCCCAUUUCCUCUGUGUUUCCCUCAUUCGCGCAAUCUCGUCUUACCUUACCUAACUUUUCUUCCUUUACCUUUCCAACUCACCUUAACUGGCUUACCUUUAUUUUCCUACCUUUUCUAGCCGCCUCAUGUUUGUCAAGUCCUCUCGUCUACUCUGUGUUUCUCCAUUCGCUCAGUCUCGUCUGCCCACCAAAGAGCAACUCAAUUGACCUCUCCGUACCUUGACUCGACUCGUGUUUCUUUCCUUCCCUGUCUCACCUUUCCACUCUAACUACACUCUUCUAACAAUACUCUUCCCUCGCUGUUUCCUUCACCUGUUUGUUGUUGUCUAACCUUCAAUCCUUUCUCUCUCUUACCCAUUCUCUUGUCCAUCUUCAUGUCUUCCUACCUCCCAUCACCACUACUAUAGCUUCGUGUUUUCCGCCCUCGCUCCUUGCUGUCUCUUCUCCUUUCAUCCCUUCCCUUACCGCCCUCUCCUCGUCCUGUCUCCUUUCAUCCCUUCCCUUUCCUCUUCCCUCAUCUCACCUGUUAUAGCCCUGUCUUUUCCGCCCUCUCGUCCUGUCUCGUCUCGCCCCGUCCGCCUCGCCGUGUUCCCCGCUGUCUGAUCUCGACAUGUUGGUGUGAUGAGCAGGUUCCGCACGGCCGCCACAACAGCCACAGCCUCGCCUCGCCUCGCCUCCAGCGGUGUAAUAAAGGCAGACUGCACGCACGGGAUGACUUGUGGCGGCACCCUUCCUACAGGUGGCUGAGCGGAACUCGGCUCACCUCUCCCUACUUCUAACAUCCUGCAUGACGCAGUUGGGGCUGCUGCAGAGGCCACCGUGACCACGCCGUGCCCCACAGGAGGUCUUCCUUGCCUGGGGGGCCAAGUAGGACUGGUACCGGGGAGGCCUGACGAUCGUGUGCAGGACAUGAAGAUGGUGCAACACAAGAAACUGACUGCCUGUUUUGGCAUGAUGUGGUUGGAAAUUUACAUCAGUGGGACCGGCAGACAAAAGCAAGUUGUCCUCAGCACCGCCCAUCACCAGUCUGUUGGGCGUCCGUUAACAGAGAUGUGAAACACCCGUCUAUCAGCAACCUGGCCCCAUGUCCUCAGCAGUCUGUCGCGCCGUCACUGUCACAACGGGCGAAGGGAAUCACGUUGUCGCCCCGGACGCCAAACAAGUCCCCAACGAGCUUGCUCACCUGCCAAAUGAUAUUUAAUUAAAUUCCAAACAUGAUACCAAA